UCAUCAAGGACGGCAAAAUCCACCGUGUCCUACCAGAUGGCAGCUUUUCUGAGGCUGAUGACUUUGAGUUGUUUGACGUGGGCGACAGUGUGGUGAUGCCGGGUAUUGUAGACUGCCACGUCCAUGUUAAUGAACCGGGCCGUACCCGCUGGGAGGGGUUCUGGACGGCCACCAGAGCUGCUGCCAGCCGGAGGGAUUACGACAAUUGUAGACAUGCCGCUGAACAGCAUCCCUCCAACCACCACACUCAGUCACCUCCAUGAAAAGCUGCAGGAAUCCACAGGGAAGUGUUUUGUGGACACGACC